rnacentral:rRNA from 1 species
CGGACGAACGCUGGCGGCGUGCCUAAUACAUGCAAGUAGAACGCUGAAGAGAGGAGCUUGCUCUUCUUGGAUGAGUUGCGAACGGGUGAGUAACGCGUAGGUAACCUGCCUUGUAGCGGGGGAUAACUAUUGGAAACGAUAGCUAAUACCGCAUAACAAUGGAUGACACAUGUCAUUUAUUUGAAAGGGGCAAUUGCUCCACUACAAGAUGGACCUGCGUUGUAUUAGCUAGUAGGUGAGGUAAUGGCUCACCUAGGCGACGAUACAUAGCCGACCUGAGAGGGUGAUCGGCCACACUGGGACUGAGACACGGCCCAGACUCCUACGGGAGGCAGCAGUAGGGAAUCUUCGGCAAUGGGGGCAACCCUGACCGAGCAACGCCGCGUGAGUGAAGAAGGUUUUCGGAUCGUAAAGCUCUGUUGUAAGUCAAGAACGGGUGUGAGAGUGGAAAGUUCACACUGUGACGGUAGCUUACCAGAAAGGGACGGCUAACUACGUGCCAGCAGCCGCGGUAAUACGUAGGUCCCGAGCGUUGUCCGGAUUUAUUGGGCGUAAAGCGAGCGCAGGCGGUUUGAUAAGUCUGAAGUUAAAGGCUGUGGCUCAACCAUAGUUCGCUUUGGAAACUGUCAAACUUGAGUGCAGAAGGGGAGAGUGGAAUUCCAUGUGUAGCGGUGAAAUGCGUAGAUAUAUGGAGGAACACCGGUGGCGAAAGCGGCUCUCUGGUCUGUAACUGACGCUGAGGCUCGAAAGCGUGGGGAGCGAACAGGAUUAGAUACCCUGGUAGUCCACGCCGUAAACGAUGAGUGCUAGGUGUUGGAUCCUUUCCGGGAUUCAGUGCCGCAGCUAACGCAUUAAGCACUCCGCCUGGGGAGUACGACCGCAAGGUUGAAACUCAAAGGAAUUGACGGGGGCCCGCACAAGCGGUGGAGCAUGUGGUUUAAUUCGAAGCAACGCGAAGAACCUUACCAGGUCUUGACAUCCCGAUGCUAUUUCUAGAGAUAGAAAGUUACUUCGGUACAUCGGUGACAGGUGGUGCAUGGUUGUCGUCAGCUCGUGUCGUGAGAUGUUGGGUUAAGUCCCGCAACGAGCGCAACCCCUAUUGUUAGUUGCCAUCAUUCAGUUGGGCACUCUAGCGAGACUGCCGGUAAUAAACCGGAGGAAGGUGGGGAUGACGUCAAAUCAUCAUGCCCCUUAUGACCUGGGCUACACACGUGCUACAAUGGUUGGUACAACGAGUUGCGAGUCGGUGACGGCGAGCUAAUCUCUUAAAGCCAAUCUCAGUUCGGAUUGUAGGCUGCAACUCGCCUACAUGAAGUCGGAAUCGCUAGUAAUCGCGGAUCAGCACGCCGCGGUGAAUACGUUCCCGGGCCUUGUACACACCGCCCGUCACACCACGAGAGUUUGUAACACCCGAAGUCGGUGAGGUAACCUUUUGGAGCCAGCCGCCUAAGGUGGGACAGAUGAUUGGGGUGAAGUCGA